AUUUUAAACUACUUUUGUUGGUCCAUGACAGAAAAUCUCCAAAAAAUACAUUAAGUGAGGCUUCCAUACUUUGUGGAUCUCAGCAGACCUCAGGAUGUCCUCAACCACACUUGCAACUUCUAUCUCAGCACAGAGAAGGGCGUCUCAGUGGGAGUGUGGCACACGCUCCCUGCCAGCCAAUGGGACGCAGCCGUUGGGAAACAUCUCGACUGGUACCACGAGACACUGGGAGACGGGCGUCCUAUUGUCAUCUACCUCCAUGGAAACGUAGGGAGCAGGGCAAUAAGUCACAGAGUGAAGCUGGUGAAGGUUCUGAGUGCUGCAGGGUACCAUGUCUUAUCUUUAGACUACAGAGGUGAGAGAACAACCCAUUAAACAACCAUUUCCCCUCAGCUAUAAUCGCAGAUUCAGAUCCAUAGGCAGCUCUAUGAUAUGACCUGAUUUGCAUGAACACACAAACAACUAAAAGGUGUUUGAAAGGGAUUUCUUUCUGCAAACAUUUAAUGAGAAAUCU